rnacentral:tRNA from 1 species
GAAGGCAUGGCCGAGUGGUAAGGCGGGGGACUGCACAUCCUUUUCCCUAGUUCAAAUCUGAGUGUCGCCU